UGAAAAAAAAAAAAACGGACCAAAACCAGACACAGUGUUAGACACACUGUGUCUGGUUUUGGUCCGUUUUUCUUCAUCU
rnacentral:miRNA from 1 species